GUGCUCACUUUGGCAGCACAUAUACUAAAAUUGGAACGAUACAGAGAAAAUUAGCAUGGCUCCUGCGCAAGGAUGACAUGCAAAUUCGUGAAAUGUUCUAUAUUUUU
rnacentral:snRNA from 1 species